CAGGAUCUCACAGGGGGACUGCAGGGCCUGGCUUAAGGAGAUGAUCAAGUCACUCUUGGAAGAAAAGCUGGAGCCUACAGCCUCAACAACCACUACUCCACACGUGGACCAGCCUUUGUCCCUGGCCAUCAAGCCCAACAUCUCUGUCCCACUGAUAAUCCUCCGCUGCUCCCUUCUUCUGUGGUCUCUGGGGAGAAUCCUUGACAAUGAAGGUUGAAGAUGCUCCAGAGAAGUCGUGAGAGUUCAUCUGGUGCCACCACUCUCCCUUUCCAUCAGCCUC